rnacentral:tRNA from 1 species
GGAACGGUGGCCGAGAGGCUUAAGGCAACGGUUUGCUAAACCGUCGUACUGAGUAAUCAGUACCGAGGGUUCGAAUCCCUCCCGUUCCG